GACGAACGCUGGCGGCGUGCCUAAUACAUGCAAGUCGAGCGCAGGAAACUGACGGAACUCUUCGGAGGGAAGGCAGUGGAAUGAGCGGCGGACGGGUGAGUAACACGUAAGGAACCUGCCUCAAGGAUUGGGAUAACUCCGAGAAAUCGGAGCUAAUACCGGAUAGUUCAUCGGACCGCAUGGUCCGCUGAUGAAAGGCGCUCCGGCGUCACCUUGAGAUGGCCUUGCGGUGCAUUAGCUAGUUGGUGGGGUAACGGCCCACCAAGGCGACGAUGCAUAGCCGACCUGAGAGGGUGAUCGGCCACACUGGGACUGAGGCACGGCCCAGACUCCUACGGGAGGCAGCAGUAGGGAAUCUUCCACAAUGGACGAAAGUCUGAUGGAGCAACGCCGCGUGAGUGAUGAAGGUUUUCGGAUCGUAAAACUCUGUUGUAAGGGAAGAACACGUACGAGAGGGAAUGCUCGUACCUUGACGGUACCUUACGAGAAAGCCACGGCUAACUAUGUGCCAGCCGCCGCGGUAA
rnacentral:rRNA from 1 species